AGCGAACGCUGGCGGCAGGCUUAACACAUGCAAGUCGAACGGGCGUAGCAAUACGUCAGUGGCAGACGGGUGAGUAACGCGUGGGAACGUACCUUUUGGUUCGGAACAACCCAGGGAAACUUGGGCUAAUACCGGAUAAGCCCUUACGGGGAAAGAUUUAUCGCCGAAAGAUCGGCCCGCGUCUGAUUAGCUAGUUGGUGUGGUAACGGCGCACCAAGGCGACGAUCAGUAGCUGGUCUGAGAGGAUGAUCAGCCACAUUGGGACUGAGACACGGCCCAAACUCCUACGGGAGGCAGCAGUGGGGAAUAUUGGACAAUGGGCGCAAGCCUGAUCCAGCCAUGCCGCGUGAGUGAUGAAGGCCCUAGGGUUGUAAAGCUCUUUUGUGCGGAAGAUAAUGACGGUACGCAAGAAUAA
rnacentral:rRNA from 1 species